UCCGCUCCGUGUGCGGCGGCGCUGCGGGACCGGGCGCGGCCCUCCCGUUUAAUAUGCAUCAACUGCACCCUCAAGGCUUUGAAACAGAUCUGCCACCAGACAUGGAUACUCGAAUGCUACUUCACAAGGUUUUGACUGGUGCAUCUGAAAGAGUUGCAGAAGAAACAUGAUCUGGCACUGGGAGAUAAAGCUGUGAGCUGGGCAAAGCUGCCCUAGGCAGAGGAUGCCUGUGCCUGCAGUGUGAGAUGCUUCUUCACCUGUUACUGAUGCUGGUGCAGACAAGUCUUCCCUAAUUAAAGGCUUCGAGAAUGCUUCUCGUUGUGAUGGCUGGUGUGAUGGGGCUAUGAAGUGAUGCAGCUGGUGCUACCAGCAAAAAAUGAAGCUUGUGGGGAGUUUGUGUGACAAAGAAGACUAACUUGUGUCUGAGGAGAGGACUGUGCUGUCUGCAGCCUCACUAGGUGAGGAGGCAACUUUGAAAUGGCUGCAAGAAGAACCAAGGAGGUGGAAGAUUGCAGAAUAAUGGGUUACACUUGCAUGAACAGCAUUAAAAAAGCCAAGGUGUUUUUACCACACUGAAGAUAUUUGCCUGAUAGUGAGUGGAACCAAUAAAAAUUUGUGAACUCUG